rnacentral:rRNA from 1 species
GAUGAACGCUGGCGGCGUGCCUAAUACAUGCAAGUCGAGCGAACAGACGAGGAGCUUGCUCCUCUGACGUUAGCGGCGGACGGGUGAGUAACACGUGGAUAACCUACCUAUAAGACUGGGAUAACUUCGGGAAACCGGAGCUAAUACCGGAUAAUAUAUUGAACCGCAUGGUUCAAUAGUGAAAGACGGUUUUGCUGUCACUUAUAGAUGGAUCCGCGGCGCAUUAGCUAGUUGGUAAGGUAACGGCUUACCAAGGCAACGAUGCGUAGCCGACCUGAGAGGGUGAUCGGCCACACUGGAACUGAGACACGGUCCAGACUCCUACGGGAGGCAGCAGUAGGGAAUCUUCCGCAAUGGGCGAAAGCUUGACGGAGCAACGCCGCGUGAGUGAUGAAGGUCUUCGGAUCGUAAAACUCUGUUAUUAGGGAAGAACAAAUGUGUAAGUAACUAUGCACGUCUUGACGGUACCUAAUCAGAAAGCCACGGCUAACUACGUG